CUCCAGGCCCCUCCACACGGCCCUGUGGACAGGCCAGCCUUCCUCAUGCAAAGUCACCCUGAAGGUCAGCCACACCAUGACCUUCCCAAAGCUCGGCUCUAGAGACCAGAAUUCACUGGGCAUCUCCAAGGGGCCGGGCACUGUGAGCAAGCCCAGGAGCCCCACCCCGGAGGGACUUCCAGCAGAAUGACGGUGCUAGCGGACG
rnacentral:lncRNA from 1 species